CCUAGAGUUGUAGGCUUUGCCUGCUAUCUCUUACCCAUGUCUUUUGAGUACCUUCGUUUCCUCGGCGGGUCCGCCCGCCGAUUGGACAAUUUAAACCAUUUGCAGUCGCAAUCAGCGUCUGAAAAAACUUAAUAGUUA
rnacentral:misc_RNA from 1 species